rnacentral:misc_RNA from 1 species
AAGUCGUAACAAGGUAUCCGUAGGUGAACCUGCGGAUGGAUCAUUAAACAAAUCUACGUAUCAACCAACCGCGCACUUUGUUUUUUCCAACUUGCUCUGUCAGUGUUCGGAAGGGAACUCCUCUCGGGGAGGGAACGGAAGACGCUGAUAUCAAGGUGGAAACUUAUUAACCCAUUGUAUUAUCAUCCCCAGUUAUUUCAUUUCUUUGUCGCGGCCUAACGGCGGACUUUCUAGUAAGAAAUUUUUGUACAACUCUUAACGAUGGAUAUCUAGGCUCUC